UUGGUCUCAGAUCAGACAGGA
rnacentral:rRNA from 1 species